rnacentral:rRNA from 1 species
CGUGUAGGCGGCUUGGUAAGUCCGUUGUGAAAUCUCACAGCUUAACUGUGAAACUGCGACGGGAACUGCUUUGCUAGAGUGCGGGAGAGGAGAGUGGAAUUCCCAGUGUAGAGGUGAAAUUCGUAGAUACUGGGAGGAACACCGGUGGCGAAGGCGGCUCUCUGGACCGCUACUGACGCUGAGACGCGAAAGCUAGGGGAGCAAACG